GUCUUCGAGUCUACGCAUGCGCAGGCGGCCCAGGUUGUUGAGGCUCGCUCCCGACUGUCCCCACUGUCGAGACUCCGGGGUUGGGACGUUAUACUUUUGACAUUUCUGACCUGGAAGCCUCGCCUCCCUCCUAAUAUUAAUUUUCAGGAAACAUGAGAAAUGACCUGUGUUCCUUGGAGAGACUGUCAUCUACCAGUUCUGAGACCUUUUUCAUUGAAUGCAGGUAAACAAUGGUCCCUGUGUGAAGAAUGACCUAGAAGA
rnacentral:lncRNA from 1 species